AUCAACUUUCGAUGGUAGGAUAGAGGCCUACCAUGGUAGUAACGGGUAACGGGGNGUUUGGGCACGACACCGGAGAGGGAGCCUGAGAAACGGCUACCACAUCCAAGGACGGCAGCAGGCGCGCAAAUUACCCAAUCCCGACACGGGGAGGUAGUGACAAUAAAUAACAAUACGGGGUCCUUACGGGUCUCGUAAUUGGAAUGAGUACAAUUUAAAUCUCUUAACGAGGAACAAUUGGAGGGCAAGUCUGGUGCCAGCAGCCGCGGUAAUUCCAGCUCCAAUAGCGUAUAUUAAAGUUGUUGCAGUUAAAAAGCUCGUAGUUGAAUUUCGGGAUCAAUUUAUCGGUCGUGCCAAUGGUAUGAACUGGUACAAUUGGUUUCUCCCUUCUGAUGAAGCUCGAUGUCAUUAACUYGGUGUCGUGGGGAAUCAGGACUGUUACUUUGAAAAAAUUAGAGUGUUUAAAGCAAGCCUUGGCUUGAAUACAUUAGCAUGGAAUAAUGAAAUAGGACGUUUGAUCCUAUUUCGUUGGUUUCUAGGAUCGACGUAAUGAUUAAUAGGGAUAGUUGGGGGCAUUAGUAUUCAAUUGUCAGAGGUGAAAUUCUUGGAUUUAUUGAAGACUAACUACUGCGAAAGCAUUUGCCAAGGAUGUUUUCAUUAAUCAAGAACGAAAGUUAGGGGAUCGAAGACGAUCAGAUACCGUCGUAGUCUUAACCAUAAACUAUGCCGACUAGGGAUCGGAUGAUGUUAAUUUUUUAAUGACUCAUUCGGCGCCUUACGGGAAACCAAAGUGUUUGGGUUC
rnacentral:rRNA from 1 species